rnacentral:rRNA from 1 species
UACGGAGGGUGCAAGCGUUAUUCGGAUUCACUGGGCGUAAAGGGUGCGCAGGCGGCCAAGUGUGUGAGGCGUGAAAGCCCGGGGCUUAACCCCGGAAUUGCACCUCAAACUACAUGGCUAGAGCAUUGGAGAGGGUAGCGGAAUUCACGGUGUAGCAGUGAAAUGCGUAGAUAUCGUGAGGAACACCAGAGGCGAAGGCGGCUACCUGGACAAUUGCUGACGCUCAGGCACGAAAGCGUGGGGAGCAAAAGGG